CUGACAUUCUUGUUUCUUAAACUCUUUUUCUUCUGUUAGUUUGCCAAGUCCUACUUUAUUGUGAUGACUUUUUGUUUGGCAGCCUAAGUUUCUUUAUCAAAUUCGAUAUAAAGAGUAAUGAAGAGAACCCUCUUCAUUAAUUGUCCUCUGACCUGUAAACUUCACAUAUUUACUGCCCCAUAACAAACAAACAAACAAACCAACAUCUCAACAUCGUGUAUCUUCAAUGAGGGCUGGAGGCUUCAGUGACUAAAAGCAUACAUUGCUCUUGCAGAAGAGGUGACUUCAGUUUCUAGCUGCACAACAGCUGCCUCACAAUUGUGAAAGUGGAAGGUUCCCGAAAAGCAACAUCUGAGUUUGUCUUCUGAGCUCCACAUCUGCAUGCUGUGCACACAUCUACCCAUUGUUUGGGUGACAUUUCUCACUGUGUAUGAAGAUUUCCCUGGAUCAAAAAAGCUAAGGGCCUGGAAUGCCAACAGCAGAACCAAUGUGGUGGCCAGUGGUACAGCCUGCUACUGCUAUCAAGUAACUCAUGUCGCAGAUGGAGGUGGCUCCAGUCAGUCUGUGAAGAACUUUAUUCCUCUGCUCCCUCUAAAUCUCUCUUGA
rnacentral:lncRNA from 1 species